GGUAGCGUGGCCGAGUGGUCAGGGCGUCGGACUUGUAAUCAGGAGGUCCCGGGUUCAAGCCCUCCAUCGUGCUAUUCG
rnacentral:tRNA from 1 species